rnacentral:rRNA from 1 species
GAGUUUGAUCCUGGCUCAGAUUGAACGCUGGCGGCAGGCUUAACACAUGCAAGUCGAACGGUAACAUGAGUGCUUGCACUUGAUGACGAGUGGCGGACGGGUGAGUAAAGUAUGGGGAUCUGCCGAAUGGAGGGGGACAACGGUUGGAAACGACUGCUAAUACCGCAUAAUGUUGAGAAACCAAAGCAUGGGACUUUCGGGCCAUGCGCCAUUUGAUGAACCCAUAUGGGAUUAGCUAGUUGGUAGGGUAAAGGCUUACCAAGGCGACGAUCUCUAGCUGGUCUGAGAGGAUGACCAGCCACACUGGAACUGAGACACGGUCCAGACUCCUACGGGAGGCAGCAGUGGGGAAUAUUGCACAAUGGGGGGAACCCUGAUGCAGCCAUGCCGCGUGUAUGAAGAAGGCCUUCGGGUUGUAAAGUACUUUCGGUAAUGAGGAAAGGGGCGUAUCUAAUAGGUACGUUAAUUGACGUUAAUUACAGAAGAAGCACCGGCUAACUCCGUGCCAGCAGCCGCGGUAAUACGGAGGGUGCGAGCGUUAAUCGGAAUGACUGGGCGUAAAGGGCAUGUAGGCGGAUAAUUAAGUUAGGUGUGAAAGCCCUGGGCUCAACCUAGGAAUUGCACUUAAAACUGGUUAACUAGAGUAUUGUAGAGGAAGGUAGAAUUCCACGUGUAGCGGUGAAAUGCGUAGAGAUGUGGAGGAAUACCGGUGGCGAAGGCGGCCUUCUGGACAGAUACUGACGCUGAGAUGCGAAAGCGUGGGGAGCAAACAGGAUUAGAUACCCUGGUAGUCCACGCUGUAAACGAUGUCGAUUUGGAGUUUGUUGCCUUGAGUGAUGGGCUCCGAAGCUAACGCGAUAAAUCGACCGCCUGGGGAGUACGGCCGCAAGGUUAAAACUCAAAUGAAUUGACGGGGGCCCGCACAAGCGGUGGAGCAUGUGGUUUAAUUCGAUGCAACGCGAAGAACCUUACCUGGUCUUGACAUCCACAGAAUCUUGCAGAGAUGCGGGAGUGCCUUCGGGAACUGUGAGACAGGUGCUGCAUGGCUGUCGUCAGCUCGUGUUGUGAAAUGUUGGGUUAAGUCCCGCAACGAGCGCAACCCUUAUCCUUUGUUGCCAUCGGUUUGGCCGGGAACUCAAAGGAGACUGCCGUUGAUAAAGCGGAGGAAGGUGGGGACGACGUCAAGUCAUCAUGGCCCUUACGACCAGGGCUACACACGUGCUACAAUGGCGUAUACAAAGGGAGGCGA